rnacentral:rRNA from 1 species
GCGAGUGAGCGGCAAAAGCUCAAAUUUGAAAUCUGGCGCCUUCGGUGUCCGAGUUGUAAUUUGAAGAAGGUAACUUUGGAGUUGGCUCUUGUCUAUGUUCCUUGGAACAGGACGUCACAGAGGGUGAGAAUCCCGUGCGAUGAGAUGCCCAAUUCUAUGUAAAGUGCUUUCGAAGAGUCGAGUUGUUUGGGAAUGCAGCUCUAAGUGGGUGGUAAAUUCCAUCUAAAGCUAAAUAUUGGCGAGAGACCGAUAGCGAACAAGUACAGUGAUGGAAAGAUGAAAAGAACUUUGAAAAGAGAGUGAAAAAGUACGUGAAAUUGUUGAAAGGGAAGGGCUUGAGAUCAGACUUGGUAUUUUGCGUUCCUUUCCUUUUUGGUUGGGUUCCUCGCAGCUUACUGGGCCAGCAUCGGUUUGGAUGGUAGGAUAAUGACAUUGGAAUGUAUCUCUACUUCGGUGGAGUGUUAUAGCCCUUGUUGAUACUGCCUGUCUAGACCGAGGACUGCGUCUUUGACUAGGAUGCUGGCAUAAUGAUCUUAAGCCACCC